CGAAACGUUUUCAUUUGUAAGUUUGCUUAAAACCAUCGAAAAGAAUUGGAGAAAAUGUAUGAAGUGGACUUCGUAUAUAUCUCUAAAAAGAAGUCUCGCCGCCAUCGUCUGCAGCAGGCUGUCGGUGCUGCUACUCACUCGAUCUAUCAGUAAUGCGACGCCAACAAUAGAGCCAUAACGACUGGACAAGAAGAAGAAGAAUAUUAACAGGAUUCAUCACUUAUUGACGUCAAAAAAUUACUUAAACUAAGUCUGCUGCCGACUUCCAAAGCGCAGGUGAAGAAGAAGCAGCGCAACAAACUUCACCGCGGCCUUGUCUGCAAGAAAUAUGGCGGACGGACAUGGUGACCACUGUGGGUGACCACUAAGCCACAAAGAUCGUCGAGAUAAUACAGGGCAAGAUAACAACUCGAUCUUGAUAAUAUUUACCGAAAAUGCACUUAAAAAUUUAAAAAAAGCGGCUACAAUAAUUUGUAAAAGU